rnacentral:misc_RNA from 1 species
GCCCGGUGCAGCAGCAGUU